rnacentral:rRNA from 1 species
AGAGUUUGAUCCUGGCUCAGGAUGAACGCUGGCGGCGUGCUUAACACAUGCAAGUCGAACGAUCCUUCGGGAUAGUGGCGGACGGGUGAGUAACGCGUGGGAAUCUGCCCUCAGGAGGGGGAUAACGGCUGGAAACGGCCGCUAAUACCCCAUAUGCCGAGAGGUGAAACGAAUUUCGCCUGAGGAUGAGCCCGCGUCUGAUUAGCUAGUUGGUGGGGUAAAGGCCUACCAAGGCGACGAUCAGUAGCUGGUCUGAGAGGAUGAUCAGCCACACUGGGACUGAGACACGGCCCAGACUCCUACGGGAGGCAGCAGUGGGGAAUUUUCCGCAAUGGGCGAAAGCCUGACGGAGCAACGCCGCGUGAGGGAUGAAGGCCUCUGGGCUGUAAACCUCUUUUCUCAAGGAAGAAGAACUGACGGUACUUGAGGAAUAAGCCACGGCUAAUUCCGUGCCAGCAGCCGCGGUAAUACGGGAGUGGCAAGCGUUAUCCGGAAUUAUUGGGCGUAAAGCGUCCGCAGGCGGCCUUGUAAGUCUGUUGUUAAAGCGUGGAGCUCAACUCCAUUUAAGCAAUGGAAACUACAAGGCUGGAGUGUGGUAGGGGCAGAGGGAAUUCCCGGUGUAGCGGUGAAAUGCGUAGAUAUCGGGAAGAACACCAGUGGCGAAGGCGCUCUGCUGGGCCAUAACUGACGCUCAUGGACGAAAGCCAGGGGAGCGAAAGGGAUUAGAUACCCCUGUAGUCCUGGCCGUAAACGAUGAACACUAGGUGUCGGGGGAAUCGACCCCCUCGGUGUCGUAGCCAACGCGUUAAGUGUUCCGCCUGGGGAGUACGCACGCAAGUGUGAAACUCAAAGGAAUUGACGGGGGCCCGCACAAGCGGUGGAGUAUGUGGUUUAAUUCGAUGCAACGCGAAGAACCUUACCAGGGUUUGACAUCCUGCGAAUCCCUUGGAAACGAGGGAGUGCCUUCGGGAGCGCAGUGACAGGUGGUGCAUGGCUGUCGUCAGCUCGUGUCGUGAGAUGUUGGGUUAAGUCCCGCAACGAGCGCAACCCACGUCUUUAGUUGCCAGCAUUCAGUUGGGCACUCUAGAGAGACCGCCGGUGAUAAACCGGAGGAAGGUGUGGAUGACGUCAAGUCAUCAUGCCCCUUACAUCCUGGGCUACACACGUACUACAAUGCUACGGACAAAGGGCAGCAAGCUCGCGAGAGUUAGCAAAUCCCAUAAACCGUGGCUCAGUUCAGAUCGUAGGCUGCAACUCGCCUACGUGAAGGAGGAAUCGCUAGUAAUCGCAGGUCAGCAUACUGCGGUGAAUACGUUCCCGGGCCUUGUACACACCGCCCGUCACACCAUGGAAGUUGGCCAUGCCCGAAGUCGUUACUCCAACCCUUGUGGAGGAGGACGCCGAAGGUGGGGCUGAUGACUGGGGUGAAGUCGGAACAAGGUA